AAAAAAAAAGCUUGAAGAUUGUUGUUCAAUUGUUGGGAUGGCUAAUUCCUCCCCAUAGUCGGAAGGGGGAGAUUCGUUGAGUUAUUUCCUCUUAUAAGGAAGAAACCCAUGUUUGGGAUGUUGUAUUCUAGUCCAAAGCCCAUUAGGGUUUUAACCGUAAUGAUGAAUAUGAAUACAAGAAAAUUGGAGAAAAUAGAAGUCCAACCAAUUUUUGAAAAAAGAGAAAAAAAUAUUUUUUUUCCUUGCGCCCAAAUUUCAUCAAAGCUCCAAUCCCAAGUUGUCCGUGGUCUGAUCGAGCAAAAAUUUAGGAAGAGUUACACAAGACAUAGAACUACAAUCUAGGCAGUGGAGAUUGAAUUUUGAGUUUGAAAACAUUGGUUAAUGUGUGUGAACAAUAACCAGAUUUUUGGAGUAUAUUUUUCCAAUUUUCAUAUUGUCAAAAUUGUUGUUAUCUUGAAGAAAUAUAUGUUGUAGCUUCUAGUUAUGACUAAAGAAGACUUGGUGUACCUAUUAUUUGACUGAUAGUGGAGGUUCAGACUGGACUUGGUAUCGUGGUUUUUAUUCCUCACAUCGGAAAAAAUUUUCCAUGUAAAAUAAUUGCUUGUGUUCUUGUUGUUUAGUGUGAUUGAUUUUUUUAUUAUUUUCAACAUACAGAAUUGUCAAAAAGAGCGUCCACUUAUUUGUUUUUAAGAGACGAAUUAUUUCACUACUUAUCUAUUUGUUUGCAUCUCUCCCAACAAAACUCUUCAUCCUCCCCCAUCUUCUUCUUCUUGACCCUUUUCAAAUUUCAUUCUUCACUAAAUUUCUUUGAAAGUUAUAUUCAUAUAAUCGAGAACUUAAAGCAUCAAUAAUUGAAUCAACGGAAUAGACCAAAAAGCUUCAUCAUACAAUCAAAGAUCUACUUAAUUAUUAAAGGGGACGAGAAAAUAAAGUUGGAAAAACUAAAAAGUUUGCAUAGUGGAGUUUUAUGAAAAUUGACAUCAAAUUUUUAAGCUCGCCUGUGCGUAUGACCAUUAGCAAAUCGCAACAAACUGCUACUGCUACACCGAUCUUUUGGUGUCUACAUGGUCCAAAAGAAUUAUUAAAUGGCUUCUUCUCAAAUGCUUGAAUCAACAACCCAACUGGCAUAUCUAACUGUAAGGGUAACCAAAAAAAAAAAAAAAAAAAAAACAAAAAAAAAAACUCAAAAUAAAUUCCCAAAAAAAAAUUCAUUAAAUGGAAGUCAAUGAAUUAGUUGAGUUGUAAGAUAACGAAAAACAACAACAACAACAACAACUCAAACUAAAUUCCCAAAAAAAUAUUAUCUAAUAAAGUAUCAGCCAAAAUUGAAAAUCUAAAGCGGAAUAUUUAAUAGAAACAAACCAAUGGUGUGAUCGACAUAAAUUAAAGAAAUAUUAAGAAAAUAAGCAAGACAAUGCAAAAUUAAUCUGACGAUCAAUAGCGUAUAGCGAUAAAAUAAAUAAAUAAAUAAAAUAAAAUAAGUCGAUCAAUGCAAAUUGUUAUAUUCUAUCUUUAGUAACCUACGACAUAAAUCCCGAAUGUUGAAGAAAACACAACUUCCGGUCAAUGACAAAGAAAUAUACAGAAUUAAAUCAUACCCAAUUGAUAUUUGAAGAUUUCAAAAAAGCCGAGAUGAGAAAUGCAUCCACAUUCUUGAUCGAAAGUAAAAUAUAGGGAAAAAUAGAUCGAAAAUUACGAAUUGACUUGGUGUUGAUGUUCUUUUGUCUGGUGGAGGUUAUGAGCCCUUAAUUAUCAAAAUCCAAACACAAAGUGAAAUGUAAGUAACUAAAAGAGUUAAGAAAUUGGAUUAAAAUUUGAAAAAAGAAAAUAAUUGAAAAAGAAAAGAAAAACAAACUAUGUAUCAUAAAUACAAUUCGAAAACAACCUUAGUGAACUCUAAAGAGAAGAAGAAAUGAUGAUGAUUGUUUGUAGUAAUGGAGAAGUAGAUAGGCAUGGCUGUAGUAUAUGAAAAUGGAGAAAGAGUAAAGAGGAGCUUUGUGCUAGAAUCCAAGCUGCGUGAAUUGAGGAAGAUCAAAGACGUCAUUGUAUCAAACACCAAAACGACAUCUCUUUACUAAUUCUGAAGGCAAAAUAGCGUCGUUUUGUCAACACAAGAAAAGGCGAAAAAAAAAUGGAAGGGGAUUGAAUCACUAUUACAUCUAAGGUACACUCCUCAUUGCCAACACACCAAAUUAUGCCCAGGGGAUGCAAUGAUAGAGAAAAUUAAACAAAUGUUGAAAUGAAUAAAUAAUUUUAUUGAAAUAUAAAGAUUGAUAGUACAAUAUUGAAAUAAAAAUUUGAAAUACAAGAUUGAAAUUUGAAAAAUUAAGAAAAUUUAAAUAUACAAGGUUUUCUCAAACUUUCUUGAAACUGUUUUAUCUCCCGC
rnacentral:lncRNA from 1 species